rnacentral:lncRNA from 1 species
AGUCAUGCUUUGAGCCAGGGUGAUGCAAAAGUACAUCCAGGCUCAAAAGCAACCUUAAGGACAAAGCCUUUUCUGAGAUUUAGGCAGCUAAGAGUUGUUCCCACCAAAAACAAUACAAGCUUCCUACCUCUCCUCACAGAGUAACAUGGCUUCAGUGCUCAAGCAGAGUUCCUCAUAACAGCAGACUGGCUGACAUGUUCCAGCCAGAAUAAAGCUACUGUCCAGAGCUGCUAAGCUCAGCCAUUUCCUCCAGCUGCCCUUAUAUCCCAUCACCCUCCAUCAGAGCCUGCAACCUUUCCAACCAAGCAGGUGCCGUCCUUUCUGAAGCCAACUAAUUGGUAACUUCUGGAAGAGUAGCUCCUGGAGGUCACCAGGUGUGCCUAAUUAGCACACCAAGGGAAGCCAAAAAAUCCUCCCCAGUUUCAAGGCCUAUAGAUAGCAUUUUUCACAGCCAAGAUGGCUCCCUCAUUGCCCAAGCCUUCUUUCUCUCCUCUCCACUCUUUUUGUAAUUCUGAAGUGAAUAAGACAUCCAAAAUAUAUAAACAGGUAUUGGAAGCACCAAAUCCAGGAUUCAUCCUGUUCAGGUGAGCGAAUGGUGGCCUGGUUUGUUCUUUCUUUCAGAUAUGGACAGAUUUGCACGUUAUAGAUUUUAUCAUUGAAGCACCUGAGCUGAAUGGGCAAGGGAUCUAGCAGAAUGAUAGAGAAGUGCUUUAUAGGCAGAAUGCCCCGCUUGCCAGGUCUAGGGAGGGGCUGCUUCAUUCCACAACAAGGGGAGGGAUCUCUAUUCAGCCAUGAGCCACUUAUGGAUCAGUCCCGGGUGUCUCUAGUUAGUGCUGGGAAAGAUGGGUGUCUUCUGAAAUCCAAUAGCACUGAGCUUGUUGGAACAGCAGUCUGAGGAAAGACUUGCUAAAUGCCAUGGCUCCCAGUGUGGUUUUUGUACUCCUGGAAUGGCAAUCUCUGCCGUUUGUACGGGAUACAGGUCAAUAUUUGAAGGCUGCAAGACCUUCUGUAAAAGAAAGACUUCCAUUAAGAUGCCGCUGGUCCUGUCAAGCGGCAAGACUGCCACGGCUGGGGUGCCGCUGGAUCAGCUGGGGACUGCAUUGCCAGGCCACUUCCCCGGCCGAACAGCCUGGGCGGGAGGAGGUGGAUCAACCUGCCCUGUAUCCCUUGUCUGCACCACUGCAGAGGCACAGAAGACGGGAUCCCACUGCCUCUUGCCAUGGCUCUCCUUCAUCUGAUGUGGUUGAUGACAGUCCUGAGCAGCUCCCACCCUCUUAUUCCUGCCGAUACACCCUCCUCCAGCUGUCCCACAUCAAAUUUUCCUCUAAAUGUAUCAGCAAAUACGCAUGUGGAAAUUGACGGUGUAGUCCAAAUCCAGCCAUCAAGUGAUAUUUUAUCUCUCCCUCCCUUGCCUAUAUAGACCAUUUCCGGUGAUGAACUUUUAUUUUGUCAAUAGUCCAUGACAUAAUUCAUUAUCCUCUCCAUGCGAAACAUAUAUGGUUGUUUAUAUGGUGUAGCUGGUAAGAUGGUUGAGUUUUGUGCAUAUGUUCACCAUAUGGACUGGUGAUGCAAACACAGGAAGCAAUAUAUGGUCUGUCCUAUCUCUAUGAUGCCAUUUGGACCUGACUUUGAAGAGUAACAUUGUGUGCUGACGUUUACUAUGUAUGGAAAGAGUGAUGCAUCCACUGACAUUAAAAGUCUUCAGUUAGCAGUGAAAUAACUGUGCCUCAAGAUGAGUCACUGCUAAUUCUUCUUGUUGAAUCUGA